GACGAACGCUGGUGGCGUGCCUAAUACAUGCAAGUUGGGCGCUGAAGGUUGGUACUUGUACCAACUGGAUGAGCAGCGAACGGGUGAGUAACGCGUGGGGAAUCUGCCUUUGAGCGGGGGACAACAUUUGGAAACGAAUGCUAAUACCGCAUAAAAACUUUAAACACAAGUUUUAAGUUUGAAAGAUGCAAUUGCAUCACUCAAAGAUGAUCCCGCGUUGUAUUAGCUAGUUGGUGAGGUAAAGGCUCACCAAGGCGAUGAUACAUAGCCGACCUGAGAGGGUGAUCGGCCACAUUGGGACUGAGACACGGCCCAAACUCCUACGGGAGGCAGCAGUAGGGAAUCUUCGGCAAUGGACGAAAGUCUGACCGAGCAACGCCGCGUGAGUGAAGAAGGUUUUCGGAUCGUAAAACUCUGUUGGUAGAGAAGAACGUUGGUGAGAGUGGAAAGCUCAUCAAGUGACGGUAACUACCCAGAAAGGGACGGCUAACUACGUG
rnacentral:rRNA from 1 species